AAUAGAUACCCGGGUAGUCCACCCCGUAAACGUUGGGAACUAGUUGUGGGGUCCAUUCCACGGAUUCCGUGACGCAGCUAACGCAUUAAGUUCCCCGCCUGGGGAGUACGGCCGCAAGGCUAAAACUCAAAGGAAUUGACGGGGACCCGCACAAGCGGCGGAGCAUGCGGAUUAAUUCGAUGCAACGCGAAGAACCUUACCAAGGCUUGACAUAUACGAGAACGGGCCAGAAAUGGUCAACUCUUUGGACACUCGUAAACAGGUGGUGCAUGGUUGUCGUCAGCUCGUGUCGUGAGAUGUUGGGUUAAGUCCCGCAACGAGCGCAACCCUCGUUCUAUGUUGCCAGCACGUAAUGGUGGGAACUCAUGGGAUACUGCCGGGGUCAACUCGGAGGAAGGUGGGGAUGACGUCAAAUCAUCAUGCCCCUUAUGUCUUGGGCUUCACGCAUGCUACAAUGGCCGGUACAAAGGGCUGCAAUACCGCGAGGUGGAGCGAAUCCCAAAAAGCCGGUCCCAGUUCGGAUUGAGGUCUGCAACUCGACCUCA
rnacentral:rRNA from 1 species